UACAGAGGGUGCAAGCGUUAAUCGGAAUUACUGGGCGUAAAGCGUGCGUAGACGGUUAUGUAAGUCAGGUGUGAAAGCCCCGGGCUCAGCCUGGGAAUUGCAUUUGAGACUGCAUAGCUAGGGUGCGGAAGAGGGAAGCGGAAUUUCCGGUGUAGCGGUGAAAUGCGUAGAUAUCGGAAGGAACACCAGUGGCGAAAGCGGCUUCCUGGUCCAGCACCGACGUUCAGGCACGAAAGCGUGGGGAGCAAACAGG
rnacentral:rRNA from 1 species